rnacentral:rRNA from 1 species
AAUGCGUAGAGAUCUGGAGGAAUACCGGUGGCGAAGGCGGCCCCCUGGACAAAGACUGACGCUCAGGUGCGAAAGCGUGGGGAGCAAACAGGAUUAGAUACCCUGGUAGUCCACGCUGUAAACGAUGUCGAUUUGGAGGUUGUGCCCUUGAGGCGUGGCUUCCGGAGCUAACGCGUUAAAUCGACCGCCUGGGGAGUACGGCCGCAAGGUUAAAACUCAAAUGAAUUGACGGGGGCCCGCACAAGCGGUGGAGCAUGUGGUUUAAUUCGAUGCAACGCGAAGAACCUUACCUG